GACGUAGGGCGCGAGCGUUGUCCGGAUUUAUUGGGCGUAAAGAGCUCGUAGGCGGCUUGUCGCGUCGACUGUGAAAACCCGCGGCUCAACCGCGGCCUGCAUUCGAUACGGGCAGGCUAGAGUUCGGUAGGGGAGACUGGAAUUCCUGGUGGUAGCGGUGAAAUGCGCAGAUAUCAGGAAGAACACCCGUGGCGAAGGCGGCUCUCUGGGACGGUACUGACGCUGAGACGCGAAAGCGUGGGGAGCGAACAGGG
rnacentral:rRNA from 1 species